CAUAGCUUAAUGUAGAUAUUAGGUGAACCCUGCCCAGUGAUUUUAACGGCCGCAGUACCUUGACUGUGCUAAGGUAGCAUAAUAAUUUGGCUUUUAAUUGAAGUCGGGAAUGAAGGGGUAACGGAAAAUUUGUCUCUUUUAAGGUAAGUAAAUUUACUUAUUAGGUGAAAAUUCCUAUUUGUUAUAUUAGACGAGAAGACCCUUAGAAUUUUUAUUAUUUUUGUUGGGGCGACAAUAAUACAUUAAACUUAUUAAACAAUUUAACAAGACGAGGGAGAUUAAAUUACCUAAGGGAUAACAGCAUAAAAUUAAGAUUAUGACCUCGAUGUUGGAUUAAGAGAUAGAGGUUAGUAAUUUCUAUUGUUCUGUUCGAACCUUACGUGAUC
rnacentral:rRNA from 1 species